CACCUGAGAGCCUCAGGUGCGCCUGGGGGGCGGAAAAGGAGGCGGAGGGAGGGAUGGCGGCGGCAGGUGGUGCACCCGGCCCGCACCGAGUUGGCCCACGCGGAGCGAGCGGCGCUGCAGCGGUAUCUGGGCUCAUCUCCCUGCCCCGGAGCCCGGCAACUAUUAAUCUUGGUUGACGGUUUCUAAUGUCCUAAUUGGGAGGUGGGGAGAGCGGCCCAGUCCGCCCUAAAGGUAGAAACGGCUAAUGGGCCUCUUCAUCACCGCCAGGAGCGGGUCCCUGGCGGAGCGCGAGGGGCGCUGCAGCAGGUCUGUGGGCUCCCAGUCCUCCAGCACUCAAGUCCACUCCUCCUCCACCAUAGUGGGACCUCUUCGUAACCCAGUCCUCCCAAAGCCGUCUUCCUCACCUCACCGCAGUCCUGGCCCAAACUGCCCGGGGACGGGCCCACCCAGGGGGUCCCGGCCGGGCCGCUCCUCCGCCCUCCCAUGGGACCCGCUGCGUCCUAGAGCCCCAGCUUGUCUUCGAGCUUCGCUGCCUCCCGCUCGCUGUCUGCCUCGCUCCCGCCUUCCUCCCUUCUCCCUCCUCCAGCCGCAUCAGAAAUAUAUUGUAGUAUUCUCACCUAAUCCUGUUCAAUUACAGCAUAAUAAAACACAUAAUAAAAACCUAAUUCAUUUUUCUCCCGCGCCUCCCAUCUCCCGGCAUCUUCUAGCUCGGGAUUAAAAAUUUGUCUUCAUGUUUGUGGCACCGCAAUCCCGGCGCCUCCGCAUCUUUAAUGUAUGAGCCGGGGAGCUAGAGAUCCGCGGAUUCUGCGGUCUUCGCGCCGGGAAGGCGCCUGCCAGUCACCUAAGGAUGCAGGCGGGGAAGGAUGGAGAAGCGUAGACUUGCGUGGGGCCCUAGCGGUGGCCACCCGCUCGCGUCCACAGGAUGAGGGCUCAAAGGCCCCCAGAUUUCCAGGGGCAGAGAGAAAGCACGUGCGUCCUGUCCGACAGACCCCGUGUGGCCUCUAGGGGGCGCAGUGUGGGGCAGAUCUCUGGGAAGGGCCUUU
rnacentral:lncRNA from 1 species